rnacentral:rRNA from 1 species
UACGUAGGCAGCGAGCGUUGUUCGGAGUUACUGGGCGUAAAGGGUGUGUAGGCGGUUGUUUAAGUUUGGUGUGAAAUCUCCCGGCUCAACUGGGAGGGUGCGCCGAAUACUGAAUGACUUGGAGUGCGGGAGAGGAGAGUGGAAUUCCUGGUGUAGCGGUGAAAUGCGUAGAUAUCUGGAGGAACACCGGUGGCGAAGGCGGCAUCCUGGACCGGCAUUGACGCUGAGGCGCGAAAGCCAGGGGAGCAAACGGG